rnacentral:tRNA from 1 species
UGGGAUGCUCCAUUGAUAAUGGUCGGGAUAGCUCAGCUGGUAG